AUUGAACGCUGGCGGCAGGCCUAACACAUGCAAGUCGAACGGUAGCACAGGAGAGCUUGCUCUCUGGGUGACGAGUGGCGGACGGGUGAGUAAUGCAUGGGGAGCUGCCCAAUCGAGGGGGAUACCAGCUGGAAACGGCUGCUAAUACCGCAUACGCCCUGAGGGGGAAAGGUGGGGACCUUCGGGCCUACCGCGAUUGGAUGCACCCAUGUGGGAUUAGCUAGUUGGUGAGGUAACGGCUCACCAAGGCGACGAUCUCUAGCUGGUCUGAGAGGAUGACCAGCCACACUGGAACUGAGACACGGUCCAGACUCCUACGGGAGGCAGCAGUGGGGAAUAUUGGACAAUGGGCGCAAGCCUGAUCCAGCAAUACCGCGUGUGUGAAGAAGGCCUGCGGGUUGUAAAGCACUUUCAGUUGGGAAGAUAAUGACGUUACCAACAGAAGAAGCACCGACUAACUCCGUGCCAGCAGCCGCGGUAA
rnacentral:rRNA from 1 species